rnacentral:misc_RNA from 1 species
GCUAGCGCUGCCGUUGUAAGACCCCCAGGCCCUGUUGCAGACGUAAUUUUCAAAUAAAAUUUUUUUAUAUUAAAAAAAAAAACUUUUAUCUCGGUGCCUUUUCCGGUGAUGCGAGGGCAGCUUUUGCGAUGGAGAAAGCCUCCUCGGUAAUCGCGGCCAGAUUACCCCAUCUCAAUUUCCAAAGUACGCUUUCCGUUGCUCCUUAUUUACCAACUCAACCGACAAAAAAUUCACACAAUUUCUCAGUGCAUGGUGGGGGUAUUUUAAGAAUUUCGUCUGCUGCUAAUGGGAACCAUUCUUCCGUCUUCACGGGAUGAUAUGCCACGUGUCAAUCGUUCGACCGCCUUUCCUUGCUAUAUGAACACCACCGGGAUUUUUCCCGCUUUUGAAAGAAAGGAAAAUUUUUUCUUUAUUUGAGUCUGUUUAUCCUCUCUGGACUAUAAGAGACAAGAGAUAGAUAGACAGAGAAAGAGAAAACCAACUUGCUGUAAUCGACUUCUGAAACCAAGCUUUCGGUUCUGUACUCUCAAGUGGUAUAAGUAGUUCUCAGCUUCAAUCUGCUUGUUUUGAGCAAUGGCUAUCGGCAGCUAGAUUUCUAGCCGGAAUUUAUGUUCUUUUAUUGGCCCAGGCAAAGUUUAUCAAACAGAACCAACUAUUUCAUAUGACAAGGGAGAGCGAUCAGGCAUAGCUGCUGCAAAGUUUGCAAAUGGGUGCAUCUUUUAUAGAAAGUUUUAUAGUCGAAUGGCCAUUGCUUUUAUUUCCGGAUUCUCAAGUUCCCCAUUUAUUCAAGUCACCAAUCAUUCAGAUGAAAAAGCUUCAAAAUUCUUAUCAACUUAUCCCCAACAAAGAAGUUUAGGAAGAUGUGAGUGUUCUUCGUAUCCCUCUGUUUGUAAUUGGAGUCGGCUGAAACAAAGGCAUUGGCAGCAUUUUGAGUAUGUCAAGGUCAAUAGAACCUGUGCUUACCAUAAAUCCGAGGAGUAUGACAUAACAGAAGCUGCUGUGGACUCGCUGAAGUCAGCUGAGGGGUCAAUUGAGGCUGUAUUAAUAGAAGGAAAUCUGCAACCUUGUUGGCAGCAGUUUCCAAAACGCUGGGUCAUUGUGCUGCUUUGUUUUAUGGCAUUUCUAUCAUGCAACAUGGACCGUUAGGUAAACAUGAGCAUUGCAAUACUUCCAAUGUCACAAGAGUUCAAUUGGAACAGUGCAACGGUUGGUCUAAUUCAGUCAUCAUUUUUCUGGGGCUGCCUUAUGACUCAGAUUUUUGGAGGCAUUUGGGCUCAUAAAAUUGGUGGAAAGCUAGUAUUAGGUUUUGGAGUGGUUUGGUGGUCUAUAGCUACAGUUUUGACUCCUAUUGCUGCAAGAAUUGGACUCCCUUUUCUGCUGAUGAUGCGUGCUUUCAUGGGACUUGGAGAGGGUGUUGCUAUGCCUGCUAUGAAUAACAUUCUUUCUAAGUGGAUUCCUGUGUCAGAGAGAAGCAGAUCACUUGCCUUAGUUUAUAGUGGCAUGUAUCUAGGUUCUGUCACAGGAUUGGCCGUCUCUCCUAUUCUAAUCCAUAAAUUUGGGUGGCCUUCUGUCUUCUAUUCAUUUGGCUCCCUGGGCAGCAUCUGGUUUGCUUUAUGGCUAAGAAAGGCGUAUAGCUCACCGAAGGACGACCCAGAGCUUAGUGCACAGGAAGAAAAACUUAUCUUGUGGGGCAGCACAUCAAAGGAACCUGUUUCUGUCAUUCCUUGGAAAUUAAUAUUAUCAAAAGCACCUGUUUGGGCACUUAUUAUUUCUCACUUCUGCCAUAAUUGGGGUACCUUUAUUCUUUUAACAUGGAUGCCUACAUACUACAAUCAGGUAACUCAGCCAUUGCAGUGUGGUUGAUAUUUGUCUAUGCAUUUGAUUUCAGUUAUUUGUUGACAUUUGUUUUUGUAUGUUGUCUUUGUUAAUUAGAAAUGUACUUUUCUCUCUCCAUCCUUCAUCUCAUAUUCCGAGUUCUGUUCAUUUGCAUUUGAAAACAAGAUCUUUUUUUCCUUUGGGUGUAAUUUUUCUUAUGAAUCUGUUGCAGUUUAAGAAAACAGGAACAGACUUGUGAACAUCCACUUUAUAAUUUAUUAGUAUAAUUCAAUGUAAUUUCUAAGCGUCUUAUUAUUAUUUUUAAAGAGACAAAAUCUCACAAUUCAGAAAUGAGUCCAGCACUGGAUGCAUGAUUCACUUUCUUAUUCUGGAUGUAGUAGAUGCUGUUAGUGAUUGAUUCCAGAUAAGCAAGAUCUUAUAACAUGAUAGCUAAUCUCAUGAAUAAAUGAACUUACAUUUUUCCUUCUGUGGUUUUCUCAGGUUUUGAAGUUUAACCUCACUGAAUCUGGUCUAUUCUGUGUCUUGCCAUGGUUAACCAUGGCUCUUUUUGCAAAUAUUGGAGGGUGGAUUGCUGACACACUUGUAAGCAAAGGUCUUUCCAUAACUGCAGUUCGAAAGGCAAGCAUUAAAUUAUCUAUUAAUCUUAAUUUUUAUAUUGUGUCAUUAAGAUUUGAGUUUCCAAUAUAUUUUUCAAGUCUAGCCACUGCAUGUUAAUGUGGCUGAUCCUAACUCAAAUUUUCUAAAAUUUUGGUAGUUUGUAUUUCUGACCCACAAAAAGGGUAUUCUGUACACUGCUCUUGCCAUAUAUUUUCAUAACAUCCAUUGCUUCUUUUUAUUUUCCAAAUAUGGCUGUAAUGUUAUUACUGAGAAUCCAUGUGGCAGUCAUAGUUAUAAAGUUGGUUUUUGUUUGUUCAACAAUAUCUGCUUGCUAAAUGGUAAAUUAAUUUCAGGAAGAGAUCAAGAGUAUGCGAAUGGACAGUACAUCUUUCCGCAAAUGCGCACAUAUUUUUAGAUGAAGUAAACAAAUGAGAAAGUUCUAUUAUAUUUUAUAAGCUCAAAAUGUUGUAGACAUGGUGAUCUAAGUGUUCCACUUUGCUUUUUGGCAAUAAUUUUUCCUUGAUGAACUCUUUCUUUUUGUUGAGUAAUAAUUCUUUAAAACUUUUAAAUAUUGCAGAUCAUGCAAUCAAUUGGGUUUUUAGGACCAGCCUUCUUUCUCACUCAGUUGAGUCAUGUUAGGACUCCUGCCAUGGCUGUACUGUGCAUGGCAUGCAGUCAGGGAUCUGAUGCAUUCUCUCAGUCUGGUCUAUAUUCCAACCACCAAGACAUUGGCCCCCGUUAUGCUGGAGUUCUGUUAGGACUAUCAAAUACUGCGGGAGUGCUUGCUGGUGUUUUUGGCACUGCUGCAACUGGCUACAUUCUCCAAAGAGGUUCUUGGGAUGAUGUGUUUAAGGUGGCUGUAGUAUUGUACAUCAUAGGCACGUUAGUGUGGAACAUCUUUUCCACUGGAGAGAAAGUUCUUGACUAGAUCAAGGGGUGCAGGAAUGGGGUGAGGAUGCUCUACAUAAUGAAGAUGCAGUUUACAUAGCUAAGGAGAUCCAAGCGUAAAGAAAUUGAAGUAGUAAUGAGAAAAAGAUGAAAAAAAAAACCACAUUUGCAAGAUUGAAAACCUUGCUGAAACAAUUACAAGCUAAGAAGCCCUCGUCGAAGUUUUGCCGCCACCUUUUAGUCCUUUAUUUGCUCUGACAUAUUUUGGGUUGGCUUUAAAAGACCUUUUUAUCAGUUAUAUCUCCUUUUGUUUUCUUUUGCUAAUCAAGAAAGUGGUCCUUUCUUUUUCAUUUACAUGUUUUGCCAUGUAGAUGAAAUGUGGAAUUGCAGCCAUACAAUACAUGCUUUAUGUAUAGAACAUCAUUCAUCCACUUGUUGAUUUGUUGGGGUUGGGCCUUUAUAUAGCUUAGAUGAAAACUAAUUAAGGAAUGUCUAGGAUGGUAUCACUCGGCUUAAUUAGCUUGGAAACUUAUAUAACAAUUCCAUUAUAAUAUGAUAUACUAAACUGGGAGAGACUUUUCCUCUAUUGAUUUAUUAAUCAUAUAAUUAGAGAAUCAUCCAGUGGCCACACCAAAAGAUGAAAGGGAUAAAAUCAAAAAAAAAAAAUCAGACACUAAGAAAUAUGUCCCAACAGCUUAAUCACUUCCGGCAUUCAUUCUUCCCCAACCUUUUCCCUGCAUGAAAAGUCAUAUAAAGCUUUUGAUAUUGAAAGCUUGGCCUUCAAGGCAUUCUUUAAAAUUGCUAGAGCUUAUUUACCAAAGCAAGUCACAUGAACUUAAUCGACUCCAUUCGUUCUAAAUUAUGACUAAUAUAUUUACCAAAGAGAUACAAAUACUUGAAAGAAAGAGCAAUUAGAAGUACAAGAAAGCACAAUAAUUAAAGAAAAGUAACAUCAAUAAUCACUUGUUAGAUUCUAUACUUCACCAAAAAUAAAUUGACAUAACAAUUAAAUUAAUAUUGGUAUCAAUCAUGAGCAUUAUUUUCCUGUUAUUCAAUAAUGCACUUAAUUACAAGUUAAAAUGAAAGAGAGAAUGAUAUCAUAAACAAAGAAAGAAUUUAUGAAAUAUCACAAGGAUUGCCCACAUAUUAAUAAAAGCAAGAAUUAGUUCAAAAAAACUCCCUCUCUCUCUUUAUCUCUCUCUCUCUCCCCCCCUUGAUGAGCAUCUCUAUGGAACGAUUUAUGAUAUAUGAGCAGCGACUAUCUCUGCGUCUUCAAAAUCAAUGAAAAACAUAAUUAAUCACAAAGAAAUGGGCCUUACCCUUCCCCACCGGCAAUUCAAAGUCUAUCACGCAGGGUACGAUCUACCCUCCUUAAAUACCCAUCACCAACCUCACCAAUACCCAACAAGUACUUUAAACUGCACCAACUACCUCUUCUUUUACACCUCUACUAACGCCGUUACAUCUGACGUCAACUCCUUCAUGCAACUUUUCUCCUCCUCCUCCUUUUGCUUUCCUCUUAUUUGCUCUUUCUACACUUUCUUCCAAAUCCCUCUUAUGUACAUUAACCCUAAGUCCAUCUUUCAUGAACAAUGUUAACGACAUCUUCUGCUCCACCUUGUGACCUGGCACCAACGUCAGCCUAUGCCGCAGCAACAACGCUGCUGCCACCGACUUCAUUUGCAGAUAUGCUAAGCCUUUACCUAGGCAUAUUCUUGGACCUGCAUUAAAUGCUACGAAUUUAUAUGAGUCAUAUUUUAUGAACUGCUUUCCAUCUGGGGAUAACCACCUCUCUGGACGAAACUCCAAGCAGUCGUCACCCCACGUAGACCUCAUCCUUCCCGUCGCAUAUAUUGAAUACGUAACUGAUGAGCCCGCCGGCACGAAAGUGCCGUCCGGCAACACAUCAUCGGUCACCACGUGCUUUGAGUCCUGAGGCACCGACGGGUAAAGCCUUAGGGUUUCUGAUAAUGCUGCUUUUAGAUAAAUCAAGCGAUCAAGCUCCUCGAAUGCUAAUGGCUCAUCAACCCAUUUUGACACGUCAUCGCCACGUGUCUCAAUCAGGACGGUGCAUAUUUCGCUUAAGAUUUUCUCUUCCACUGAUGGGUUCUGAAUGAUCAACCAAAAGAACCAGCUGAGGGCAACUGAUGACGUGUCACGUCCAGCUAGGAUGAAGUUAAGUGCCACGUGUUGAAGGAAAGUGUCUGAGUAGGAUUCUUUCUUCUUCAUGAAUCUGGAGAGCAAGUCAUCGUGGGGGUUUCCGUCUUUUUGCUGGUGUAAAAAUAACUCUUUUUUACGGGCUUCGAUCACCGCCGUUAAGUAGUCGUCGAGCUGUUUAAGGCUUCGGUUCAAGCUUACUUCCAUGCCCAGCCUAAACCAUUUUUUGAACUUCCACAAUACUUCAGGCAAAAUAAACCGUUGAAGAGAGGCUUCGGUGGCUCUGUCAAAAGCCGAAGCGAAGCUGUUAUCUGGGAGCCCCGGCGAGCAUGUCUGCGGGUCCUUGCCGAAAGCCAAGCCGCAUAUAUUAUCGAACGUGAGCCGAAGCAGAAUGUCUUGAAGAUCUACCGGCUCGCCCUUGAGUUGAGCGGUUUCAAGAAUUGGGCAGAAUCUCAACUUUAUGGCUCGGCUAACCCAUCGAGCCAUAGCUUGGCGCAGAGUCCUGGUGGUG